rnacentral:tRNA from 1 species
AGAGAAGUGUCUGAGCGGUUAAAAGUACUGGUUUUGAAAAUCAGAAUAGAUUAAAUCUAUCGAGGGUUCGAAUCCCUCCUUCUCUU